UGGGUUCCUGGCAUGCUGAUUUGUGACUUAAGAUUAAAAUCACAUUGCCAGGGAUUACCACG
rnacentral:ncRNA from 2 species